rnacentral:rRNA from 1 species
AACGCGAAGAACCUUACCUGCCCUUGACAUGUCUGGAAGUUAGCAGAGAUGCUGAUGUGCCUUCGGGAACCAGAACACAGGUGCUGCAUGGCUGUCGUCAGCUCGUGUCGUGAGAUGUUGGGUUAAGUCCCGUAACGAGCGCAACCCUUGUCUUUAGUUACCAGCACGUUAUGGUGGGAACUCUAAAGAGACUGCCGGUGACAAACCGGAGGAAGGUGGGGAUGACGUCAAGUCCUCAUGGCCCUUAUGGGCAGGGCUACACACGUGUUACAAUGGUCGGUACAGAGGGUUGCCAACCCGCGAGGGGGAGCUAAUCCCGAAAAACCGAUCUCAGUCCGGAUUGAGGUCUGCAACUCGACCCCAUGAAGUUGGAAUCGCUAGUAAUCGUGGAUCAGAACGCCACGGUGAAUACGUUCCCGGGCCUUGUA